GCGCAUGCUAGGCGGCCUGUUAAGUCAGAUGUGAAAGACCCCGGGGCGUUAACCUCGGAAUUGCAUUUGAAACUAGGCAGGCUAGAGUCUUGUAGAGGGGGGUAGGAAUUUCAGGUGUAGCGGUGAAAUGCGUAGAGAUCUGAAGGAAUACCAGUGGCGAAGGCGGCCCCCCUGGACAAAGACUGACGCUCAGAUGCGAAAGCGUGGGGAGCAAACAGGAUUAGAUACCCCUGGUAG
rnacentral:rRNA from 1 species